ensembl:lncRNA
AUGCUUUCAGAAGAAACACAGAAGAGAAAUCAAACCCAAAUGCCAUUCUUAGCACAUUACGAUGGCGGAGACACAGAGGGCAAUAUUCAGGAUAAUAGGAGAAGAGAAGAGGAGGGACACCGCAGAAGCACAGCCAUGAGACGGCAGACACAGGAUAACGGUGGUAUCAGAUUACAGUAGCCUUUACAGGAUGAUUCCCUCUGGCCCUGUUUGAAGCAGUUAAGUAACGGUGUUUUUAAAAAAAAUUAAUGUAAAUAUGUAUACUGUGACAGAAAUUGCAUCUUUGGUAAUCAUUUAAACUUCAGAUAGAAAAAAAUUAUGUCAAUUAAUGUUUGAACGAAUAAGAAAUUAUUCAGCAUUAUGUGGGGUAAUGCAGGCAAAUGUGUGAAGAUCAGUUAAUAGUUAAUCUUUAAUUUUUCUUCCAAUUGUUAAAUUCUGUGAUUCAAGGCACUUUUAUUUGAAAUAUACAAACAAAAUCUUAAAUAAAUAUUAAUUUUUUUUUCUUCUUUGAACUCAUAAUUCCAUUAUAUUUUUCCAAUAAACUUUUACUCUAAUAUAUACUUUUAUACUUCUGAAAGUCUUUUACUUGUCACCUAUAAUAUAUCUCAGGCUUCCCUGAUAGCUCAGUUGGUAAAGAAUCCGCCUGCAAUGCAGGAGACCCUGGUUUGAUUCCUGGGUUGGAAAUAUCUGCUGGAGAAGGGACAGGCUACCCACUCCAGGAUUCUUGGGCUUCCCUUGUGGCUCAGCUGGGAAAGAAUCUGCCUACAAUGAGGGAGACCUAGAUUUGAUCCCCGGGUUGAGAAGAUCCCCUGGAGAAGGGAAGGUUACCCACUCCAGUAUUCUGGCCUGGAGAAUUCCAUGGACCAUAUAGCCUAUGGGGUUGCAAAGAGUUGGAUGAGGCUUUCAUUUCACUAUCACGUAUCUCUGCAACAAAUUUUUAUAAAUUAAAAUUUAAUUAUUUUUUAUUUUUCUAGCCAUAAGGCUUUAAGUAUUAAAAAAAUUCUUCUAGAUUGAACUUCAUGAAAAUUAUUAUUACAAUUCAAUUGGCCAAAAAUGACUAUAUUAUAAAUUUUAAAACUUAUUAAAUGCAAAAAGAAAAAUAAUAUUGAUAAUCUCAGUAAGAAUAGCAGGUUUUUCAUGUAUGAAUAUUGGAUAUAAUUUAAUUGAGGCCAAGUUCAGCAUCAAUUAUAUUUUUAUAUUAUAUAUAUAUGUGUAAGCACUGAUAAAACGUUAAGUAAGAAGGUAGAAAUAGAAGUUUUGGUAUAAUAAUAUCAUUCAAUUUUUUGAGCUCUUUCUGACUUAUGUGCCAAAAAUUCAUAUAAUGAUCUAUCAUCAAAAAUAUUUUUAUUAAUCUAACAUCUGACAAUUUAAUUAUGUUCUCUCCAGUUUUGAUCCUGACUUGCAAAAGGAUUUGUCAUCCUGUCAUUAGAGUCAUUUUCUUUCUGAAUUUAUAGGCAUUACACCUAAAAGGCUUUCCUGAGAUGUAUUCAAUCACUAUUAUUAACAAUUCUGAUACACAUUUACCAAUAAACAGUUUUGAUAAAAAGCUUUUUUUUCAUGCAUUUUAAAUAUACUAUUGUUAAAAUCUCAGAGCUACAGAAUUAGCUAAUUUAUGGAAAAUAUUUAAGCUGCUUAUUUGGCAAAGCCAAUCCUCAAAUCAAAUCAAUCAGCCAAAUGACAUAUUUACUGUCAGAAAAAGUCUGACUUUUCCCUGGUGGUUCCGAUGGUAAAGCGUCUACCUGCAAUGCAGGAGACCCAAGUUCGAUCCCUGGGUCAGGAAGAUCCCCUGGAGAAGGAAAUGGCAACCCACUCCAGCAUUCUUGCCUGGAAAAUCUCACGGUCAGAGGAGCCGGAUAGGUUACAGUCCAUGGGGUUGCAAAGAGUUGGACAUGACUAAGUGACUUAACUGUUACUUUCAUUUCUUAAUUCAAUUACAUGCAUUCAUACGUGUCUUCAUGAAACCCUGUUGCAUCUGAAUUCUAAUUCUGAGGGAGAUAGUCAUAGGACUGAGCCCGGCCAAAACUUUAUUGCUUGGAUGAAAUAGAGCAAUUUUGAAGUUGUGGUAAGUGAUAGAAGUUUGGGGUGAAAAUUUCUCAAGAUACAUAAAAAAUAAAAAGAAAAUACUAGUCUUAGGCAAACAUAUCUCUAGUAUUUAUGGAAGCCUCACUCCUAAAGGUGGAAGGAAAAAAAAGAACAUAGGCACAUCACAGAACCAGACACUCCUAAAGGGAGACAAGGUCCUCUAAAAAUGAGAAAAUCUGUUAGUAAGAUUUCUAAUUAUUCUUGGAAGAAAAAUAAAGAGGAGACAACCAAAGAAAUCAAUGACACUUCACAGAAAAUGUUUUGAUGAUUCAGGUUCUAAGGAACCCCAAAGAUGGGAAUGCCACGUGCAUGUAGAAGUGUGGCAGAAGGCUGAAAGAAUAUGAAAACAGGCAAAAGGCUAGAAGGGUAGAGAAUUAUAGAAGACUGCGACAGAAGGCAAGGAGCAAGAUGGACAAGGACGAGGCAAGACCACUGUUUUCUUAGAUGGUGUGUUACUCAAGAUGGUAGAUACGUUUCUACUCAACGUAUUCAAGAGCAAGAAAAUUGGUUUUCCAACUGGAAAAGUAGAAUUAAAGUCUGAAACACAUGAAACAAUAAGUGACACUGAUCACCUUUAUACAAAAAUCUUAGUUUCAAUAAGUGACCUUAUAGACUGUUGAAAGGACUUAUAAACACAGUUGCAGAAUUUCUAUCAGCAAUAUUCUAUAGUCAUGAUUAAUUGGGAGACAGCUCAUGAAGAGACUUAUAACUUUUUUAAAAAGUUUGUCAAAGUGUCAUAAAAAUUGGGUGUUGAUAUACUUAUCAGUGCUAAAAGCUGUCUAUAAUUAGAAACCAUAAUAGUUUACUAAUGAUCUCUUAGAAAAAUGUUCUUGUCUUCCUUUCUCUCUAGCACCAGUCAGAUUCUCUAGGUGGAAACCACAGGGAACCAGAUGGCAAAUUAAGGUAAGAAGAAUUUCCUUAAAAUUUAUUUAGAGUGGCCCAAAUCUGAACCAGCAUCACAGUCAUGUUCUCAAUGCCUGCAGUGGACGGACUGAAGUGGGAUCAUCAUCACAAUUGGGAGGGCAAUGAGGGGAUUCUUUUGGGGUGGGAUUGAAUGUAAGUGAUCUCAGAUUUUGGCCCUAGUUCUUAGUUCCUUAGAAUUCUACACAUCUGUCUUGGGUGAAAAGAAUACAUGCACAGGUGCUAAGUCGCUUCAGUCGUGUCUGACCCUUUGUGAUCCUAUGGACUAGAGCCCGCCAGGCUCCUCUGUCCAUGGGAUUCUCCAGGCAAGAAUACUGGAGUGGGUUGCCAUACCCUCCUCCGGGGGAUCUUCCUGACCCAGGGAUUGAGUCAGCCUCUCUUGUGUCUACUGCUUUGGCAGGUGGAUUCUUUACCACUAGCGCCACUUGGGAAGCCCGGGGUGCAUAGAAUAGACUGGCUUAAAAAGCACACAUUUCUUUGAAUGCUUUCUAGGUGUCCCCAUUAGAACUUAGCAGGAGAUGGUGUGAGUUGGUAGUUCCAGAGGAGUGUGGAAGCACAUGUGUGCAUCACUGGUGAG